rnacentral:lncRNA from 1 species
GUUUUUAUGAAGAGCAUAGUUCUCUAAAACUAAACCACCAACAGAUCUCACCAUUUGUCUGGUGGGACGACGCCACACACCUGUGUGCCUCUCUCAAGAAUACCCUGGGCGCGUGCCUUUUUCUUUGAUGGUAUCCUGGUAUAUAUCUGAUUGCUAAACCCUAAACUUAAGGUCUCCACACAAUCUUUCCUUUUUCUCCUCUUUAAGAAUAAGGAAUUUCUUCCUCAUCUUAAAUAUACUAUUUAAGAUGAUAACUCAAUUCAAUAGCCACGUCUUGGCUUGUAUAAGUCGAGCCCAUGUUGUCCACUUAUGUAUUUCAUUAGUCGCCUCACAGCUUAACUUCCUGAAUGACUUCUUGUACCACUUCCUGUACUACUUCAGGAUUAGUACACGAAACACUAAAGACGUUUGACACAUCUUCUGGCAUAUAUCAUGAUCACUUCCAAUAACUUCUCAAACCAGUCAACACUACAUCUUCAAUCUCUCCUUCGAUGACUGUGUUUUAGAACCCAAGCAUAUACACAAUACUUUGUAACAGAUCGUCUGAAUACUCGAAAGAUCUAACAUCUUCAUUCUCUCCCUUUUUAGCUUAGUUUGACACUUAAGCACUCUCUUUAAUUGUCAGAAAAUAAAAACUCUCCCUUGAGUUAAUCUCCCUUUGCACCAGAAUACAAGCUUUGCCUCUUGUUCCUUGCUCUCCCAUAUAUCAUGCUUUUCAAGAUCGCAAAAUAUCAAGAACACCAAGUAGCAGUCCCAUCAUGUAAUCUCCAGUUGAUUUCCACCCGACUUAACAAUUUCUCUACCUGCUUGAGUGCAUAACUAUGCUAAAACCCACUUUUAGAACGUGUCAUCCGUCAAGUAAUUCAAGAUCUUAUCACUAUGCAUACAUGCAUAAGUUUUACGUCCAACACUCUUUUCAGCCUUUAUGGACCCUGCA